rnacentral:rRNA from 1 species
UACGUAGGGUGCAAGCGUUAAUCGGAAUUACUGGGCGUAAAGCGUGCGCAGGCGGUUUUGUAAGUCUGUCGUGAAAGCCCCGGGCUCAACCUGGGAAUUGCGAUGGAGACUGCAAGGCUUGAAUCUGGCAGAGGGGGGUAGAAUUCCACGUGUAGCAGUGAAAUGCGUAGAGAUGUGGAGGAACACCGAUGGCGAAGGCAACCCCCUGGGCUGACACUGACGCUCAGGCACGAAAGCGUGGGGAGCAAACAGG